AUACUUACCUGGCAGGGGAGACACCAUGAUCAGGAAGGUGGCUUUCCCAGGGUGAGGCUCACCCCUUGCUCUCUGGGUGUGCUGACACCUGCGAUUUCCCCAAAUGUGGAAAACUGGACUGCAUAAUUUGUGGUAGUAGGGGACUGCGUUUGGACUUUCCCCUG